rnacentral:tRNA from 1 species
GAGGAUUUAGCUCAGUGGCAUAAGCACCUGCCUUGCAAGCAGGCAAUCGUGCAAAUUCACAUUUUUUU